rnacentral:rRNA from 1 species
UAUUGGACAAUGGGCGAAAGCCUGAUCCAGCCAUGCCGCGUGAGUGAUGAAGGCCCUAGGGUUGUAAAGCUCUUUCACCGGUGAAGAUAAUGACGGUAACCGGAGAAGGAGCCCCGGCUAACUUCGUGCCAGCAGCCGCGGUAAUACGAAGGGGGCUAGCGUUGUUCGGAAUUACUGGGCGUAAAGCGCACGUAGGCGGAUUGUUAAGUUAGGGGUGAAAUCCCGGGGCUCAACCCCGGAACUGCCUUUAAUACUGGGUAUCUCGAGUUCGAGAGAGGUGAGUGGAAUUCCGAGUGUAGAGGUGAAAUUCGUAGAUAUUCGGAGGAACACCAGUGGCGAAGGCGGCUCACUGGCUCGAUACUGACGCUGAGGUGCGAAAGCGUGGGGAGCAAACAGG